GCCCCUGUCGUUCAACGGUUAGGACUUCUGCCUUCGAAGCAGAAGAUUGAGGUUCGAUUCCUCACGGGGGCA
rnacentral:tRNA from 1 species